ACAGGCUAGUCACGCCCAAGAGUUCAUAUCGACGGCGUGGCUCGGCACCUCGAUGUCGGCUCAUCGCAUCCUGGGGCUGAAUAAGGUCCCAAGGGUCGGGCUGUUCGCCCGUUAAAGCGGUACGCGAGCUGGGUUCAGACCGUCGUGAGACAGGUCGGUCUCUAUCCGCUGUGGGCGUAAGGGACUUGAAGGGAGCUGCCCCUAGUACGAGAGGACCGGGGUGGACAGACCUAUGGUGUGCCAGUUGUCGUGCCAACGGCAUCGCUGGGUAGCCACGUCUGGCAGAGAUAACCGCUGAAAGCAUCUAAGUGGGAAACUCGCCCUAAGAUUAGGUCCCUCAUCCCGUCAAGGGAGUAAGGCCGCAGGAAGACUACCUGCUUGAUAGGCGGCAUGUGUAAGCACAGCAAUGUGUUCAGCUAAGCCGUACUAAUGGCCGAGGGCUUGAUUGAACACGUAGGAUCCGAGCGUUAUCCGGAUUUACUGGGCGUAAAGCGCGUGCAGGCGGUUUGGUAAGUUGGAUGUUAAAGCUCCUGGCUCAACUGGGAGAGGCCGUUCAAAACUACCAGACUAGAGGGCGACAGAGGGAGGUGGAAUUCCCGGUGUAGUGGUGAAAUGCGUAGAUAUCGGGAGGAACACCAGUGGCGAAGGCGGCCUCCUGGAUCGUUCCUGACGCUCAGACGCGAAAGCUAGGGUAGCAAACGGGAUUAGAAACCCCGGUAGUCCUAGUCGUAAACGAUGUGAACUUGGUGUUGGUGGCGUAAAAACCAUCAGUGCCGAAGCUAACGCGAUAAGUUCACCGCCUGGGGAUUACGACCGCAAGGUUAAAACUCAAAGGAAUUGACGGGGACCCGCACAAGCAGCGGAGCGUGUGGUUUAAUUCGAGCCUACGCGAAGAACCUUACCUGGGUUUGACAUGCAGGUGGUAGGGAUCCGAAAGGUGACCGACCCCUCGGGGAGCCUGCACAGGUGCUGCAUGGCUGUCGUCAGCUCGUGCCGUGAGGUGCCCGGUUAAGUCCGGUAACGAGCGCAACCCUUACCGUAUGUUACAAGUGUCAUGCGGGACUGCCGGUGUAAAGCCGGAGGAAGGUGGGGACGACGUCAAGUCAGCAUGGCCUUUAUAUCCAGGGCUACACACACGCUACAAUGGUCGGUACAAUGGGUCGCAAAACCGCGAGGUGAAGCCAAUCCUCAAAGCCGAUCUCAGUUCGGAUUGCAGGCUGCAACUCGCCUGCAUGAAGCCGGAGUUGCUAGUAACCGCGCGUCAGCAACAGUGCGGUGAAUACGUUCCCGGGUCUUGUACACACCGCCCGUCACGU
rnacentral:rRNA from 1 species